GCUGGGGGUCUGGAGGCAGAGAGAGUGCAGUGUCUUCAUCAGAGCCUGGAAAGGCAGAUUUCCUUUCCAUCCUACAAUAAAGAGACAGUGCGGCUUCAUCUUAUUGAAGGUGAAGUGUCUCUCUGGUGUACUGAAGAUCUACAGUACAUACAAUGUUUUCAACAUCUGGGUCAAUGAACAUCAGUGCGGAACCUUCUAAAACAGGAGCAGAGGUCUACUCAUUCAUGAAGGACAUCAGCCAGAGCUGGGAAUAAUGCUAUUUCCACAUGUAGGGUUCCUUCAGCAUACACAGAAGAUUGGCUCCAAAACCAAAGAUGAAGGAUGAAGAUGGGAGAUGAAGUUCACAUCCUAAUAAAGCAGGGUAUUUGCAUAUAA